rnacentral:rRNA from 1 species
GCAAGUCGAACGAGUUCUCGUUGAUGAUCGGUGCUUGCACCGAGAUUCAACAUGGAACGAGUGGCGGACGGGUGAGUAACACGUGGGUAACCUGCCCUUAAGUGGGGGAUAACAUUUGGAAACAGAUGCUAAUACCGCAUAGAUCCAAGAACCGCAUGGUUCUUGGCUGAAAGAUGGCGUAAGCUAUCGCUUUUGGAUGGACCCGCGGCGUAUUAGCUAGUUGGUGAGGUAAUGGCUCACCAAGGCGAUGAUACGUAGCCGAACUGAGAGGUUGAUCGGCCACAUUGGGACUGAGACACGGCCCAAACUCCUACGGGAGGCAGCAGUAGGGAAUCUUCCACAAUGGACGCAAGUCUGAUGGAGCAACGCCGCGUGAGUGAAGAAGGCUUUCGGGUCGUAAAACUCUGUUGUUGGAGAAGAAUGGUCGGCAGAGUAACUGUUGUCGGCGUGACGGUAUCCAACCAGAAAGCCACGGCUAACUACGUGCCAGCAGCCGCGGUAAUACGUAGGUGGCAAGCGUUAUCCGGAUUUAUUGGGCGUAAAGCGAGCGCAGGCGGUUUUUUAAGUCUGAUGUGAAAGCCCUCGGCUUAACCGAGGAAGCGCAUCGGAAACUGGGAAACUUGAGUGCAGAAGAGGACAGUGGAACUCCAUGUGUAGCGGUGAAAUGCGUAGAUAUAUGGAAGAACACCAGUGGCGAAGGCGGCUGUCUGGUCUGUAACUGACGCUGAGGCUCGAAAGCAUGGGUAGC